rnacentral:rRNA from 1 species
GCGCGCCUAACACAUGCAAGUCGAACGGAGCUUAGAGAGCUUGCUUUUUAAGCUUAGUGGCGAGCGGGUGAGUAGCGCGUGAGUAACCUGCCCUAGAGUGGGGGACAACAGUUGGAAACGACUGCUAAUACCGCAUAAGCCCACGGUACCGCAUGGUACUGAGGGAAAAGGAUUUAUUCGCUUUAGGAUGGACUCGCGUCCAAUUAGCUAGUUGGUGAGGUAACGGCCCACCAAGGCGACGAUUGGUAGCCGGACUGAGAGGUUGAACGGCCACAUUGGGACUGAGACACGGCCCAGACUCCUACGGGAGGCAGCAGUGGGGGAUAUUGCACAAUGGGGGAAACCCUGAUGCAGCGACGCCGCGUGGAGGAAGAAGGUUUUCGGAUUGUAAACUCCUGUCGUUAGGGACGAUAAUGACGGUACCUAACAAGAAAGCACCGGCUAACUACGUGCCAGCAGCCGCGGUAAAACGUAGGGUGCAAGCGUUGUCCGGAAUUACUGGGUGUAAAGGGAGCGCAGGCGGGAAGACAAGUUGGAAGUGAAAACCAUGGGCUCAACCCAUGAAUUGCUUUCAAAACUGUUUUUCUUGAGUAGUGCAGAGGUAGAUGGAAUUCCCGGUGUAGCGGUGGAAUGCGUAGAUAUCGGGAGGAACACCAGUGGCGAAGGCGGUCUACUGGGCACCAACUGACGCUGAGGCUCGAAAGCAUGGGUAGCAAACAGG